rnacentral:rRNA from 1 species
GACGAACGCUGGCGGCGUGCCUAAUACAUGCAAGUAGAACGCUGAAGAGAAGAGCUUGCUCUUCUUGGAUGAGUUGCGAACGGGUGAGUAACGCGUAGGUAACCUGCCUGGUAGCGGGGGAUAACUAUUGGAAACGAUAGCUAAUACCGCAUGAUAUUAAUUGUCGCAUGAUAAUUAAUUGAAAGAUGCAAUUGCAUCACUACCAGAUGGACCUGCGUUGUAUUAGCUAGUUGGUGAGGUAACGGCUCACCAAGGCGACGAUACAUAGCCGACCUGAGAGGGUGAUCGGCCACACUGGGACUGAGACACGGCCCAGACUCCUACGGGAGGCAGCAGUAGGGAAUCUUCGGCAAUGGGGGGAACCCUGACCGAGCAACGCCGCGUGAGUGAAGAAGGUUUUCGGAUCGUAAAGCUCUGUUGUAAGAGAAGAACGGGUGUGAGAGUGGAAAGUUCACACUGUGACG